UUUAGUACCGUACCUGUGCAGCUG
rnacentral:piRNA from 1 species